AAAGGGUCAUGGUUAAUUAUUAGGGCAAGCCUAGUUCGCAUUUAUAUAGCUAGCCAUUGUAUCCUUUUCAAAAUCCAGUGGAUUGCCAAGACAUAAAUUUCACUGCAAGGAUUAUUUGAUGUUGCCAACUAGCCUCAUCCAGGAUUCAAACUUCAGUGGUAGCAUCCUAUCAUAUAUAUAUCGAAGGAGGUUCAUAUAUAGAUGUUGUUUACGGGCAAUUUUUUCUCCUUUUUUCUGUGUGUGUUUGGUGAUGGGAUUACAAGGGUCUCAACCCCAAACAUGCUUGCUUGUUGCAAAGUUGCAUUUGAACCUCACCCAAACACCAACCAAAACCUCAAUAUAUAAAAAGAAGAAACAACUGAUGAGAAACAAAUACUACGUGCACUUGAUCUCAGUCAAAAGGCCAGGAAAGAUAUAAAAGAAGAGAGGAAAGAUAUAAAAGAAGAAGAAGAAGCAAAUCUGGUGAGAGUUGGCCUAUUUUCACUUUAAUGAGCAGAUUGCCAGACACCUCUAAACAACUACUUAUUCUUUUUUCUAGAAAAAAGUAUAGAAUAAAUUCGAUCAAUAAAGUACGUCAUGUAAUGAUAUGAUGCUGUGACACCACCCCGCCCGGCCCCCCUCCGCCAACCAAAGAAACAAAAAGCCAACUCCAUUGCUGCUCUCACUACUUAAGGUCACCGUUUCUUUCCAUUUACCAAACUUACACGGCUUCACAAAAAGGCAGUAUAGCUGUAAAGCUUUUAGUUCCCUUCUGAACAGGAGAGCAUCAUUAUGGUUGAUCUACUGGAGUCAAGGGAGACUCUUACCAUGGUGAAAGGAUACUAUGGGCCCGUGAGAGGAAAGAAUCCAGCUGCCGUU